ACUACAUUCAAUAAGCGGAGGAAAAGAAACCAACAGGGAUUGCCUCAGUAACGGCGAGUGAAGCGGCAACAGCUCAAAUUUGAAAUCUGGCUCUUUUAGGGUCCGAGUUGUAAUUUGUAGAAGAUGCUUUGGGAAUGGUUCCGGUCUAAGUUCCUUGGAACAGGACGUCAUAGAGGGUGAGAAUCCCGUAUGCGACCGGUCGCCUGCCCCGUGUAAAGCUCUUUCGACGAGUCGAGUUGUUUGGGAAUGCAGCUCAAAAUGGGUGGUAAAUUUCAUCUAAAGCUAAAUAUUGGCCAGAGACCGAUAGCGCACAAGUAGAGUGAUCGAAAGAUGAAAAGCACUUUGGAAAGAGAGUUAAACAGUACGUGAAAUUGUUGAAAGGGAAGCGCUUGCAACCAGACUUGCACGUAGUUAAUCAUCUGGUGUUCUCACCGGUGCACUUGGCUAUGUUCAGGCCAGCAUCGGUUCAGGUGGUGGGAUAAAGGCCUUGGGAAUGUAGCUUCUUUCGGGGAGUGUUAUAGCCCUCGGUGCAAUGCCGCCUACCUGGACCGAGGACCGCGCUUCGGCUAGGAUGCUGGCGUAAUGGUUGUAAGCGACCCGUCUUGAAACACGGACCAAGGAGUCUAACAUCUAUGCGAGUGUUUGGGUGUCAAACCCAUACGCGUAAUGAAAGUGAACGGAGGUGAGAACCCUUAAGGGUGCAUCAUCGACCGAUCCUGAUGUCUUCGGAUGGAUUUGAGUAAGAGCAUAGCUGUUGGGACCCGAAAGAUGGUGAACUAUGCCUGAAUAGGGUGAAGCCAGAGGAAACUCUGGUGGAGGCUCGCAGCGGUUCUGACGUGCAAAUCGAUCGUCAAAUUUGGGUAUAGGGGCGAAAGACUAAUCGAACCAUCUAGUAGCUGGUCCUGCGA
rnacentral:rRNA from 1 species